GGUCUUUUAGUUUAUUUUUUGAAUUUUUUAUUUACAAUAAAAAGGGUGGUUGGACUU
rnacentral:tRNA from 1 species